CUUCCAGUAGCACCUUAGAGACCAGCUAAGUUUGUUAUUGGUAUGAGCUUUCGUGUAUCUGAGGAAGUGUGCAUGCACACAAAAGCUCAUGCCAAUAACAUACUUAGCUGAUCUUAAGGUGCUACUGGAAG